rnacentral:lncRNA from 1 species
CUGGUCUGGUGAUGCCAAGACUAUCUCACAAUCUUGCGCCAAUACACAGCUAAAUAUCAUAAUGAGGUGAGUUCGAGACUUUUCCUGGACACAAGGCAAAUGUAGGUGCCAUGAGAUGUAGGUCAGCAGUUGGCUUUUUUCCUUCUCACUUACUGCAGUAAACCAGUGCCAGAAGAGAGUCUGCUGUCGGAAAUGUGGUCUUCUGAACAAGUUAUCUACCCAUUUGUAGAGCUGUUCCAGUUGCCACAUCAAUCUUCAUAGAAGUACUGGAAGGUUAUUGCCUUGAUUGUUCUGGACACAAAUCCAGUUCAGAGGCAUCUGUCUACCACUUCAGAGCAGACUGUGGUUUAGUGAUGGUUGAAUGAGCUGUACC